rnacentral:rRNA from 1 species
AUUGAACGCUGGCGGCAGGCCUAACACAUGCAAGUCGAACGGUAACAGGAAGAAGCUUGCUUCUUUGCUGACGAGUGGCGGACGGGUGAGUAAUGUCUGGGAAACUGCCUGAUGGAGGGGGAUAACUACUGGAAACGGUAGCUAAUACCGCAUAACGUCGCAAGACCAAAGAGGGGGACCUUCGGGCCUCUUGCCAUCGGAUGUGCCCAGAUGGGAUUAGCUAGUAGGUGGGGUAACGGCUCACCUAGGCGACGAUCCCUAGCUGGUCUGAGAGGAUGACCAGCCACACUGGAACUGAGACACGGUCCAGACUCCUACGGGAGGCAGCAGUGGGGAAUAUUGCACAAUGGGCGCAAGCCUGAUGCAGCCAUGCCGCGUAUGAAGAAGGCCUUCGGGUUGUAAAGUACUUUCAGCGGGGAGGAAGGGAGUAAAGUUAAUACCUUUGCUCAUUGACGUUACCCGCAGAAGAAGCACCGGCUAACUCCGUG